rnacentral:rRNA from 1 species
GUCCACGCCCUAAACGAUGUCUACUAGUUGUUGGGUCUUAAUUGACUUAGUAACGCAGCUAACGCGUGAAGUAGACCGCCUGGGGAGUACGGUCGCAAGAUUAAAACUCAAAGGAAUUGACGGGACCCGCACAAGCGGUGGAUGAUGUGGAUUAAUUCGAUGCAACGCGAAAACCUUACCUACCCUUGACAUGGUUGGAAUCCCGAAGAGAUUUGGGAGUGCCCGCAAGGGAGCCAAUACACAGGUGCUGCAUGGCUGUCGU